AUAUUUGGAAGACAUUUGAACACUGAGGCUCUCCUUUGUCCAUCAAUCUAUCCUUCACUCCAUGCUUCAGGGGAAGGAAUGGAAGAGGGAACCAAUAAUGGAAAAACUCCUUUCCACUGUCUCACUUUGAGAGAUGGAAGAAAGGGAAUCCAGGCCUACAAGGCAUAGUGAGUAGAAGCAGAGCAGGCAGGACUCGAGCACUAUGUGAGAUGGAGCACUGUUGUGAAAUGCAGUAAGAAGAGACAGAAUAGAUUAUCUAAAUGGUCUGCUCAAGGACAACAAUAUUUGACCACCACAUUUAACACUUAGAGCUGACAUUCCCCAUCUGCCACAAAGUAGGUAAAGCAAGUGAAGCAGCAGUUCAAGCUUCCUUUGCACUCUUCCAUCAAUGUGCCUCAAUAUGGAGGCAUCAUCGACAAAGCAAGAAGGUAGGAUAGUCAGCAUGUCCAUUAAACAUUAAUCCUGUCUCAUUAGAUUGUCUGGCAUCUUGUAGGCAAUGAGAGUUAUGUUGCCAAUAAGAACUGGAUUGAAACCAUCAUAUUUAUUUCACCUAUGUAACCA